rnacentral:rRNA from 1 species
UACGUAGGGUGCGAGCGUUAAUCGGAAUUACUGGGCGUAAAGCGUGCGCAGGCGGUCUUUUAAGUCAGAUGUGAAAUCCCCGGGCUUAACCUGGGAACUGCGUUUGAAACUGGAAGGCUUGAGUGUGGUAGAGGGGGGUGGAAUUCCACGUGUAGCAGUGAAAUGCGUAGAGAUGUGGAGGAACACCGAUGGCGAAGGCAAUCCCCUGGACCUGUACUGACGCUCAUGCACGAAAGCGUGGGGAGCAAACAGG